rnacentral:rRNA from 1 species
GACGUAGGGCGCGAGCGUUGUCCGGAUUUAUUGGGCGUAAAGAGCUCGUAGGCGGCUUGUUGCGUCGACUGUGAAAACCUGCGGCUCAACCGUGUGGUCUGCAGUCGAUACGGGCAGGCUGGAGUUCGGUAGGGGAGACUGGAAUUCCUGGUGUAGCGGUGAAAUGCGCAGAUAUCAGGAGGAACACCGGUGGCGAAGGCGGGUCUCUGGGCCGAUACUGACGCUGAGGAGCGAACGCGUGGGGAGCGAACAGG